rnacentral:rRNA from 1 species
GCGUUGUCCGGAAUUAUUGGGCGUAAAGCGCGCGCAGGCGGUUUCUUAAGUCUGAUGUGAAAGCCCCCAGCUCAACUGGGGAGGGUCAUUGGAAACUGGGAAACUUGAGUACAGAAGAGGAGAGUAGAAUUCCACGUGUAGCGGUGAAAUGCGUAGAGAUGUGGAGGAAUACCAGUGGCGAAGGCGGCUCUCUGGUCUGUAACUGACGCUGAGGCGCGAAAGCGUG